rnacentral:rRNA from 1 species
AUUGCCCUAGUAACGGCGAGUGAAGCGGCAACAGCUCAAAUUUGAAAUCUGGCCUCCUUUGGGGGUCCGAGUUGUAAUUUGCAGAGGGUGCUUUGGCAUUGGCGGCGGUCUAAGUUCCUUGGAACAGGACAUCGCAGAGGGUGAGAAUCCCGUACGUGGGCGCCUGCCUUUGCCGUGUAAAGCCCCUUCGACGAGUCGAGUUGUUUGGGAAUGCAGCUCUAAAUGGGAGGUAAAUUUCUUCUAAAGCUAAAUACCGGCCAGAGACCGAUAGCGCACAAGUAGAGUGAUCGAAAGAUGAAAAGUACUUUGGAAAGAGAGUCAAAUAGCACGUGAAAUUGUUGAAAGGGAAGCGCUUGCAGCCAGACUUGCCCGCAGUUGCUCACCUAGGCUUUCGCCUGGGGCACUCUUCUGCGGGCAGGCCAGCAUCAGUUUGGGCGGUUGGAUAAAGGCCUCUGUCACGUAUCUCCCUUCGGGGUGACCUUAUAGGGGAGGCGCAAUGCAACCAGCCCGGACUGAGGUCCGCGCAUCUGCUAGGAUGCUGGCGUAAUGGCUGUAAGCGGCCCGUCUUGAAACACGGACCAAGGAGUCUAACAUCUAUGCGAGUGUUUGGGUGUCAAGCCCGGGCGCGCAAUGAAAGUGAACGGAGGUGGGAACCGCAAGGUGCACCAUCGACCGAUCCUGAAGUCUUCGGAUGGAUUUGAGUAAGAGCAUAGCUGUUGGGACCCGAAAGAUGGUGAACUAUGCUUGAAUAGGGUGAAGCCAGAGGAAACUCUGGUGGAGGCUCGCAGCGGUUCUGACGUGCAAAUCGAUCGUCAAAUUUGGGCAUAGGGGCGAAAGACUAAUCGAAC